CUGGAUUCUCUGAGAAGAAACUGCUUGCCCUCCAAGGAAUGAUAUAGUAGUCAUGUGAAAGAGCUCAUCCAUUAAAGGAGGAGAGGAAGAAGAGAUAUUGGGAUAUGGAGAUAGCUCUUUGUCCACCUGAUAGAAACAAUAGAGAAACGUAGUAUUUCUAGGCAUUUUCCCCAUACAUAAGAGACCCUCCCAAGAUGCCAUCUCUCCUCUGACACUGCCACUACCCUUGUACAGACCCUUAUUGCCUCAGACCUGGACUAUUACAAGAGCCUGCUAGUUGUCUCCCCACCUCAAGUUGCUCUCUACUCUCCUCCAUCCUCCACUCAGUUGUAAAAGCAGUCUUCCUGAAGCUAUUUUACUUUUUUGGGGGUGAGAUAGCAGCCAGAACAUGAAGGAUAAGGAAAUCUGAAGAGGCAAAGAGAGAAAUGAAGGAGCUAAUUUUCUAGGGAAAGGAUACAACAGCUAAGUACACAAAAUAAUUAGAGGACGGAGAACACAGUAACAACUAACCCUGUUGGGAAAAGUGCUAUCUUCACUAAGUCUUGAAGGAAGGAAAAUGAGAAUUCUUUGAGAUGGAAUACUUUCUGGGAAUGGAUUGUGACUUGUUAAGGAGCAGAAUUUGAAUCCAUGUCUUCCUGACUUUAAUUCAUCACUUCAAAUUCAUCACUCUGUCCACUUCACCCAUUUAGAUCCAACAAAGUAUAUCAUAUAGCAAGGCUUAAUGCAAUUCUUUGUAUGUAUCAGACAUAAAACUGCACAGGUCAUUCCAGUUGACAUGGAAUUCCUCCAGUUCGUUAUUUCUUUGGGCACAAUAGUAUUCCAUCACCAACAGAAACCACAAUUUGUUCAGCCAUUCCCCAAUUGGAGGACAUCCCUUCAUUUUCCAAUUUUUUUCCACCACAAAGAGCGCAGCUAUGAAUAUUCUUGUACAAGUGUUUUUCCUUAUUAUCUCUUUGGGGAUAUAAACCCAGCAGUGCUAUAACUGGAUCAAAGGGCAUACAGACUUUUAGCACCCUUUGGGCAUAGAUUCAAAUUGCCCUCCAAAAUGGCUGAAUCAAUUCACAACUCCACCAGCAAUGCAUCAAUGUCCAAUUUUGCCACAUCCCCUCCAAUAAUCAUUACUUUCCUUUGCUAUCAUGUUAGCCAAUAUGCUGGAUGUGAGGUGGUACCUCAGAGUUCCUUUGAUUAUCAUUUCUCUGAUUAUGAGAUUUAGAACACUUUUUAUGUGCUUAUUAAUAGUUUUGAUUUCUUUAUCUGAAAAUUGCCUAUUGUGAAAAAGAGAUUACUACACCAGAGAAAUAUUGGCAAGCAAAUGCAAGAAAUGGAAUUUUGAAGGAACUGUCAAUCAACCAAAAGGAAGGAAGAUUCCAAUAGAAUCUGAUGAGAAGGCAAUUGGGAAAACCAGCAGUGGAAGGGGAGACUUUUCUUCCUGCUGUCUGGAAGGAAAGAUCAACUGAGAGAUAGGCUUGCUCUGGAUUCCUGGUUACUCACCGACUCAAUAUUAAAAAGAUUGGAACUUAGCUCUGAAGAACUUUUUCAGUUUGUCAACAAUGUCCCCUCAUAGACAAAAUAACUAUUUCCAUGUAUUGAACCCCAUAGGAAAUUGGGGAGACCCUAACUUCCCUCUUCCCUCUCCCUCCUCUCUUAAUUCCUCUAAAUUUAUAAUAAACCCCUUUCAGAAAAGAGUUACA
ensembl:lncRNA